rnacentral:rRNA from 1 species
GACGAACGCUGGCGGCGUGCCUAAUACAUGCAAGUCGAGCGCAGGAAACUGACGGAACUCUUCGGAGGGAAGGCAGUGGAAUGAGCGGCGGACGGGUGAGUAACACGUAAGGAACCUGCCUCAAGGAUUGGGAUAACUCCGAGAAAUCGGAGCUAAUACCGGAUAGUUCAACGGACCGCAUGGUCCGCUGAUGAAAGGCGCUCCGGCGUCACCUUGAGAUGGCCUUGCGGUGCAUUAGCUAGUUGGUGGGGUAACGGCCCACCAAGGCGACGAGGCAUAGCCGACCUGCGAGGGUGAUCGGCCACACUGGGACUGAGACACGGCCCAGACUCCUACGGGAGGCAGCAGUAGGGAAUCUUCCACAAUGGACGAAAGUCUGAUGGAGCAACGCCGCGUGAGUGAUGAAGGUUUUCGGAUCGUAAAACUCUGUUGUAAGGGAAGAACACGUACGAGAGGGAAUGCUCGUACCUUGACGGUACCUUACGAGAAAGCCACGGCUAACUACGUGCCAGCCGCCGCCGUAAAAC